rnacentral:rRNA from 1 species
CGACGAUUAAGCACCUUCGGGUGUGUAUAGAGUGGCGAACGGGUGAGUAACACGUGACCAACCUGCCUCUUACAUUGGGACAACCAAAAGAAAUUCUGGCUAAUACCAAAUACUCCGCACAUAUCACAUGAUGUAUGCGGGAAAGCUUUUGCGGUAAGAGAUGGGGUCGCGGCCCAUUAGGUAGACGGCGGGGUAGAAGCCCACCGUGCCGAUGAUGGGUAGCCGGGUUGAGAGACCGACCGGCUACAUUGGGACUGAGAUACGGCCCAGACUCCUACGGGAGGCAGCAGUGGGGAAUAUUGCGCAAUGGGGGAAACCCUGACGCAGCAACGCCGCGUGCGGGAUGAAGGCCUUCGGGUUGUAAACCGCUUUCAGCAGGGAAGACAUCGACGGUACCUGCAGAAGAAGCCCCGGCUAACUACGUGCCAGCAGCCGCGGUAAUACGUAGGGGGCGAGCGUUAUCCGGAUUCAUUGGGCGUAAAGCGCGCGCAGGCGGUUGCUCAAGCGGAACCUCUAAUCUCGGGGCUUAACCUCGAGCCGGGUUCCGAACUGGACGACUCGAGUGCGGUAGAGGCAGAUGGAAUUCCCGGUGUAGCGGUGGAAUGCGCAGAUAUCGGGAAGAACACAACGGCGAAGGCAGUCUGCUGGGCCGUCACUGACGCUGAGGCGCGAAAGCUGGGGGAGCGAACAGGAUUAGAUACCCUGGUAGUCCCAGCCGUAAACGAUGAGCGCUGGGUGUGGG